GAGAUCGGGUUCCUGAUAAAAAGCAUCGGGUGUGCACUCCGAGUUCCGCGCUUAGUAAGCAUGCAGACCAUGCAGAUGCCAUUUUUAUGAUGUUGUGACAUACCGUAAACUUUAUGAACAGACAAAGAAUAGCCUUCAACAGGGACCCGAGGGAGUUCGUGGUGUUAUCCUGAAGAGACUCACAACCAUUAAAAUAUAAUUCAUGAUGGAUACAGAAUUUAUAUGGUGUGACCACUGACCAGACUGGUUUUAAUAUGCCAUUCUGAGAAUUACACUAUGCAGACCUGGAUCAAUGUUUAUAUAGUUCCAAAAUGAGUUUACUCUGAAUGACACUUCAGUUCAUGCACAUUUUAGAAUGUACGUCAUCAAUGUUCUCCCAAAGGAAAGUGAGCAAAAACUUAUCCAGAUCGAGAGAAUCAACAGCACAUUUUUGUGAAACUUUUUAAAAUGCACAGGAGAAAUAGGAUUACGAAGAAGAGAAGCUUUGUCAUAAUUUUUUAUAGAUGAAUUAAAUGCAAUUUCUCAUAUA